UCCUGCUUAGCUCAUAGGUUAUAGCAUCACACUUGUAAUGCGAUGGUCAUCGGUUCGAUCCCGAUAGCUGGCU
rfam:Picea glauca, whole genome shotgun sequence.